UACGUAGGGGGCUAGCGUUGUCCGGAAUCAUUGGGCGUAAAGCGCGCGUAGGCGGCCAGAUAAGUCCGGUGUGAAAGUCAAAGGCUCAACCUUUGAAUGCCGCUGGAAACUGUCUGGCUUGAGUCCGGAAGGGGCGAGUGGAAUUCCUGGUGUAGCGGUGAAAUGCGCAGAUAUCAGGAGUAACACCAAUGGCGAAGGCAGCUCGCUGGAACGGUACUGACGCUGAGGCGCGAAAGCGUGGGGAGCGAACAGG
rnacentral:rRNA from 1 species